rnacentral:rRNA from 1 species
GAUGAACGCUGGCGGCGUGCCUAAUACAUGCAAGUCGAGCGAACGGACGAGAAGCUUGCUUCUCUGAUGUUAGCGGCGGACGGGUGAGUAACACGUGGAUAACCUACCUAUAAGACUGGGAUAACUUCGGGAAACCGGAGCUAAUACCGGAUAAUAUUUUGAACCGCAUGGUUCAAAAGUGAAAGACGGUCUUGCUGUCACUUAUAGAUGGAUCCGCGCUGCAUUAGCUAGUUGGUAAGGUAACAGCUUACCAAGGCAACGAUGCAUAGCCGACCUGAGAGGGUGAUCGGCCACACUGGAACUGAGACACGGUCCAGACUCCUACGGGAGGCAGCAGUAGGGAAUCUUCCGCAAUGGGCGAAAGCCUGACGGAGCAACGCCGCGUGAGUGAUGAAGGUCUUCGGAUCGUAAAACUCUGUUAUUGGGGAAGAACAUAUGUGUAAGUAACUGUGCACAUCUUGACGGUACCUAAUCAGAAAGCCACGGCUAACUACGUG